GUGGGGAAUAUUGCGCAAUGGGCGAAAGCCUGACGCAGCGACGCCGCGUGAGGGAUGAAGGUUUUCGGAUCGUAAACCUCUGUCAGAAGGGAAGAAAUUAUAUCAUGCUAAUCAGUGGUGUAUUGACGGUACCUUCAAAGGAAGCACCGGCUAACUCCGUGCCAGCAGCCGCGGUAAUACGGAGGGUGCGAGCGUUAAUCGGAAUUACUGGGCGUAAAGCGCACGUAGGCUGUAUGACAAGUCAAGGGUGAAAUGCCACGGCUCAACCGUGGAACUGCCUUUGAAACUGUCAAACUGGAGUAUGUGAGAGGGCGGCGGAAUUCCUGGUGUAGGAGUGAAAUCCGUAGAUAUCAGGAGGAACAUCAGUGGCGAAGGCGGCCGCCUGGCACAAAACUGACGCUGAGGUGCGAAAGCGUGGGUAGCAAACAGG
rnacentral:rRNA from 1 species